rnacentral:rRNA from 1 species
GACGAACGCUGGCGGCGUGCUUAACACAUGCAAGUCGAACGGAAAGGCCCUGCUUUUGUGGGGUGCUCGAGUGGCGAACGGGUGAGUAACACGUGAGUAACCUGCCCUUGACUUUGGGAUAACUUCAGGAAACUGGGGCUAAUACCGGAUAGGAGCUCCUGCUGCAUGGUGGGGGUUGGAAAGUUUCGGCGGUUGGGGAUGGACUCGCGGCUUAUCAACUUGUUGGUGGGGUAGUGGCUUACCAAGGCUUUGACGGGUAGCCGGCCUGAGAGGGUGACCGGCCACAUUGGGACUGAGAUACGGCCCAGACUCCUACGGGAGGCAGCAGUGGGGAAUAUUGCACAAUGGGCGGAAGCCUGAUGCAGCAACGCCGCGUGCGGGAUGACGGCCUUCGGGCUGUAAACCGCUUUCGCCUGUGACGAAGCGUGAGGGACGGUAAUGGGUAAAGAAGCACCGGCUAACUACGU